UUUUUGUCUCUCUCUGCUUCGGUCCACUCAGCGAGCAAUUGUCUUCCCGACGCCGACCUCGAAUCGGGGGACGAACGUGCCGGUGAACGCCACGGUGGCCUCCUACAUCCUCGAGUACAGCAGCAGAACCCUGGCCAUGAACCACAAUACAGCAAAAGUUGCAGGCUGAGUGGAAAUCACCAUGACUCCUAAGUCACUGAAAAGUGUUUGGAGUAGCUGAAGCACGAACAUCUAGACAUCUAGAAGGUGUGCCAUUUGGUUGCUGUAAUAUGAUGAGGAUUUCCACCAUAAGAGUUACUGUCCAAAUUAACCUACUUGAUCUCCUCUCAGAUAAGCCACUAGUUGGAAUCAAGAUUCUAGCCAGUGCUCCUUAUUAUAUUCAGCUUGACAGCUUGUGUGUGUGCUAAUUCUUAGAUCACACUGUCAUAUUUCUACCACAGAGCUCUGUGAACUAGUCUCAGAAAACCAAUUACUUGGCAUCUGAUUCUAGCCAGUGCCCCUUGUACUCAGCUUGACAAGUUCUCUGUGUGCUAAUUUUAGAUCACUAAUAUUUCGACCACAGUGGUUUGACGUCGUAAAUUCUUUUACUGGAAGGAAAACAUGCCUUUUGUUUGUGAAA